GACGAACGCUGGCGGCGUGCUUAACACAUGCAAGUCGAGCGGUAGGGCCCUUUCGGGGGUACACGAGCGGCGAACGGGUGAGUAACACGUGGGUGACCUGCCCUCAGCUCUGGGAUAAGCCUGGGAAACCGGGUCUAAUACUGGAUAUGACUCCAUGACGCAUGUUGUGGGGUGGAAAGCCUUGUGCGGCUGAGGAUGGGCCCGCGGCCUAUCAGCUUGUUGGUGGGGUGAUGGCCUACCAAGGCGACGACGGGUAGCCGGCCUGAGAGGGCGACCGGCCACACUGGGACUGAGACACGGCCCAGACUCCUACGGGAGGCAGCAGUGGGGAAUCUUGCGCAAUGGGCGAAAGCCUGACGCAGCGACGCCGCGUGAGGGAUGACGGCCUCGG
rnacentral:rRNA from 1 species